CCCUUUGCUCUUCCAGGGUUCAGCUUCCGGUUCCUUUUUGAGAACCAGCAGAGAAGGGAAAGGGGCAGAGAAACCAAAAAGAUGAGAUCCACAUGGCUCUGCUUUGUUCUCCUGAGCACCUUACCUGGUACCUCCUCGAGUCCUCAGCUGAUUCAGUCUGGCUUGGGAGUGGUGAAGCCUGGGGGCUCCCUCAAACUCACCUGCACUGUAACUGGGGUUCAAGUCAGUGAUUAUUACUGGGGAUGGAUCCGGCAGCUCCAAGGGAAAACUCUGGAAUGGCUGGGUUACAUUCGGGACACUGCAGAUGGAGGAACCCCCUACUACAAUUCUGCUUUUAGCAGUCGAGUCACCGUCUCCAGGGACACCUCCAGAAAUGAAGUCUACCUUCAGAUGAGCUCCAUGGCAGCUGCAGACACAGGAAUGUACUAUUGUGCAAGAGACACAGUGAGGCAAAGCAGCAAAGCACCCAUGCAAAUACCACAAGUGGCUUGA